UCAGGUCUAGACUCAACAUGUUGGCAUUGUUUUCUAUUAACCGGUUCUUCAACACUGUCUGUAUCAGCGCUCGAUUUAGACGGUCGCCAGGUUGCCAUUUCCAACUAAAAACCGAUUUUAGCGACCAAAAAUGACAAAAAACACGCUGGUUAGGGGCGAAAAUAUUUUGAUUUGGGCUACUGACCUCCAAAUCCAAGUCUCAGGGAUGGCAAUUUUCCGCGGAUCAGCGGAUUUCCACCGAUUUAAUUUCAAAUUUGAACACUUUAUUGUCGCUGAUGUUAAUGUCGUUAACAUCGCGAGACUCCGUCGGAUCCAGAACCAGCCCAGAAUGUGGUGGCGGCAUCCGGAGGACAGCACCAACUGAGCCUGAGCACCGCGAACGGAAAGCACCAAGCCACCGGAGCUGUCAUUUUUAACUCGGCGGGUCCGCCGGCUGCUCUCCCCGGUCACAGACUGCUCAGACUCCCCGGCUGGCUAGCUAUCCCCCGCUAGCUGCUCGGCUAACACCUGCUGCUCCUCGCCGCUCAUCUGCCCGGGACAAACCGCACCUGUUCCGGCUGUCAACGUCCCAGUCGCCCGCUAGGAGCUCCGGACAAUGCCCUGCUCAUUCGUGGGUGACUUUUCAUGGCCGUGGGGGGUUUUAAGGCACACUUUGCCCAGCGACCAGUGAUAGCUCGGCGGCUCCAACUAACAAGUUGACGUGGAGGAGGAACUGGACCCACCCCCCAAAAAAAAGUAGGAUUAAUUUUUUUGGCCACUAAAAGUUGAUUUUGGCUCCUAAAAAUGUCUAAAUUGACGUAUGUUGGUGGCCCAAAAAAUGUCAUUUGGGCGACCGGACCUCUCGGCCUUAAAUCGAGCGCUGCUGUAUAUUUCACAUCUUUGUCUUGUUUGAAGGUCCAGUGCUGCCCAAGGACAAGUUUUUUUCUGCGGCUUUCCUUCAGAAUCUUAAUGCAGUCCUGGUUUCUCAUGAUGCCAUUGACUUUGACAAGGCUGUCUAGUCCAUCGGCUGUAAAACAUCCCGAAAGCAUAACAAUACAAUACUAUGCCUUUUCCAAAGGGAAAUUCAAUUGUCUGGCCUCAUCUCUUUACUUUUGAAUAAAACAGUCUGAUUGCUGAUGGGAAGAAAGACUUUCUUUCAGACCUGCAGUGCAGGGAUAGGAGCCGUCCACCGAUGUUUUGUUGUCCACCGAGGCAGAUGUGAAGUGGAUGAUCCAGGUGAGCUUUUGGUUUGCAUCCAUGGAGACCAGCCUUGGAUACCACACUGCUCAGAUUCAUCAGGAUGCUUUUGGUGUUAUUUUUUUUUGCAGGGUGGAAUUUCUUGUCCUUCUUGAUAAUGCUUUGGACCCUGGUCUCUGGCACUUGAAAGCACUUUGGCUUUGUAGCCUUUCUUUGUGAGCAGCAGCUCUCUCUCUCAGUGAUGGACUCUAACAGCAAGCACACUAAUCUUUUCGGUUUUAGCAAUUUACUUAAUUGACUAGAAACUGACAAGUGAACUACUGCAUCAGCUGCAUUUAUAGAGUAUUAAAGUGCUGUAGAACUUGGAUCAUCAUUUAGAAGUGUUGAAGCUGCAUUUUCUUGACAACAAAGCAUCACCUUAGAGGUAUAAGUAAUUUUAAAGAUGACAUUUAUAGUAAAUGUGUAAAAAAACAAUCUUUGACACCUGAAACACAAAUUACUACCAUUUGUAAUUUGUUUAUGUCAUUUAUAACCUAUUGGUUCAAUAAAAAUUCAGCAUAAAUCAAAAUUUGGCAAGGUUAUGAGUAAUUUUGGGGGUAUACUGUCAGAUCAAAUAUUGCUAACAGAGAGGACAACAGGAUAAAACUAGAGGAAGCUGGAACCUUUAUGAAUUAAGUCUUAAAUUAGUAUUUUAAACAUCAUUUUAGUGGAAAAGCCUUGUGGAUCAAUUGUAAUGUCUUACUAAGCUACGGGUUUUUCAUAUGUUGUCAUGUGUAAGCAUCUCUACAAAUAAAGAUUCUGAUGUUUUCUUGUC